CAACUACUCCCUCCGUCCCAAAAUUCUUGUCUUAGAUUUGUCUAAAUACGGAUGUAUCAAGUCACGUUUUAGUAUUAGAUACAUCCGUAUCUAGACAAAACUAAGACAAGAAUUUUGGGACUGAGGGAGUAGAAG
rnacentral:pre_miRNA from 1 species